UCCUUUUCAGGUAGGCCUAACUGUGUGAUGUAUAGGCCUAGUGUACAAGUACUCGUGAAACCCUCUUCAGGUAUAUUCCUGGCAGGCAGAAGGCGCCAGGGAUGACUGCCAUGAUGGUCGGGGGCGGCGCUUUUGGAGGGGGGAGCCUUGGAAGGGGCGGGGGGCUCGCUUCCCCCUCUUCAAGCAGCUCCCAUCACAACCUCCGGCUCCCCUCCCCUCAUUCUCCCCCCUCCCCGGCCUCCAGCGAGUCCCCUACCUCCCCAGCUAGCCCUGGCCGCUCUGGGGGAAAUAAGGCCUGUGGUGUGUGCGGGGAUGUGGCCAAGUCCAUGCACUUUGGCGGUUUAUCUUGUGAUUCUUGCAAGGCCUUCUUCCGGCGCUCGGUGCAGAACAAUGCCCACAAGGGGUUCACCUGCCCAUACGAGAAGAAGUGUGUGAUAGCUGUGUCAUCCAGAAAGGCGUGCCAGUACUGUAGGUUUCACAAAUGUCUAUCUAUUGGAAUGGAAAAAGGCUGGGUAAUGACAGAAGAUGAGCGCCGGAAGAUGAUGCAACAACGUCAAGAGAAAAAGACGAAAGACGACCAUAAGAAACACGUUCCGUCCAGCAGCAGUACAGAUAAGUACAACUUGACUGAAGAAGAUCGGACAGAGAUCUCGAUUAUUGUCUCCUUGUAUAAAAAAGCCUACCAAGAUGUCCCAUACGAAGAAAGUGACCCACAGGAGGGAGCAUCAGGAGUAAUGUCACCAUGGAUGACAUUUUGUAAAAGAAUUGGUUAUUUUUUUUCUCUCUUCCGUGAAUUUGCCGACCUUCCGAGCAGUGACCAAGCACUGCUCCUUAAAACAGCAAUUACCUCAGCUUGCAUUAUCAUGGGAUCUGUUGUGUAUGAUUCUAAUACUGGCAGGUGGCCAGGGAAGGCUAUAUCUAGAAGUGGCUUUGUACCCAAUGUCACUUCACAGAAUGUGGAGCGUUUUGUGCCUGCUGAACUUAUGACACGUGUUGAACAAUUUUUUCGAAAGUUUCAGCAAGUUUGUCCCGAUGAAACUAUGGCAAUGAUACUCAUACUGGUGGCCCUGUAUUCCCCUGAAUUAAUGGGACUGGAAGCUAAAGAUACUAUUCAAGGUCUGCAAGAUCGAUAUACACGUAUAUUACAGAAUUAUGUAGGAUGGAAAUACAAGGAGCAGUCAACCCUAAUGUUUGCCAAAGUUAUUGUAUCCCUUGCUGAUAUUCGAGAAUUAGCUGAGCGUACAAGUCAGAUGCGUAUUCAGCAGGGUGUUGCGUCAAAUAUACCUUGCCUGUCCUCAUUCUUGCCAAAAUCCCAGUCUCAUGCGUCAUCUGUAUCACCGAUGGAAACCAACGAAGAAGGAAGUACAAUUAAAAAUGAUGAUGCAGAACAUAUACUUGUUAAGGAAGAAGACUGUGAUCUUGAAAGUGAUAAUGCACUCAAUACGGCAGCUGCCCAAAAGGUUGCACGACUGGAAGCCACAGGUGGAGCACGAGAUCACACAUACCAAAAAAUAAUGCAGAAGAUCAUGGAUCAGAUGCAUAGUUCCUCCAUACAUUUGCGGGUUCCAUCUCUCCUUCCUUUUAUCAUCCAGAUUGUUAAAAAAGUUGGUGCUGGGAAUACCAGAACCUCUUCUAAUCCUUUAUCUUCUGCUGCUCCAAAAACUAACAAGAUGCAACAGACCAAGCAUCACCGAAUAGGCUCCAAGCGCCGUAUGGUUGAAGUUAAACAAGAAUGUGUGGAUGAAAGCUGUGAUACUCAGGAUUUACCAUCUCCUGGCCCAAGCAGUGCUCUGCUGCCGCCUUUGCAUCCUAGUCCUCUUGGCCACUUUAACCUGCAACCUGAGCCUCACCUACCUCUUGGUCAGCAGCAGUUUCACCAGCUACACCAACAUCAGUCCACACCAUCUCCCCCACAUCCAACAGUUGGUUGUACGUUUCCACUGUCUCCAAUGGAAUCUACCGAUUCUUUUGAUAUGCUCCCACCCUCACCUCUACAUACCUUGAAUAUGAGACUGUCUCCACUCCCAGUGUCAUCUCCACAUGGCCCUGGCCAUUCAAAUGACAUGGUGCCUCUGCAGGUCACCCACAUGGUUCCUGUAUCAUCAUACACUCCCCCUGUUGCUAUUCCAUCCCCUAACAUUCUUGUUAAAGAGCCUAAUAUAGUACCUGUGGCAGAAAUGCCAUUACCGUCACCAAUGGCUGCUCCUUCUCCAUAUUCAGACACGUCGAGCUCCUCGCCAGAAAGUUCCCAGUCGCCGCUCACCGAGCUCUUUUCAGAGGACCUUUCAAAUGUAGAAAUAGAUGUACUUACGCAAUUGCUCGAUUACGUUUCAAACAUUGAUAACUUAGAUAAUGUGAGCUCACUGAAAGAAAUUUUACCACCCCAUCUUCUCAGUGAACUUCAAACAAAACUGUGCUCAUACUCAUUAAAACACGAGUAGCAAAAAAGGAUAGAGAUUAUCGAGUUAUUGAAACUUGAGAUUCCUAUCCCCUUCACGCAGGAAGUAUAUAUUUGAGCGCCAUCGUACCACGGGCUGUUAUCAAAAUAUGUGUAAAGUGUAUUUUCAUUGUGUCGAGUACAAUUUGUAUUGUGUUCUUGUUUAUGGAUGCUUUCAGAUGUAUUAAGCAUACUUCCGAGGUUGAAAAAAUAAAUACAUUUGGUUAAUAAAAAAGAAAAGGAUUAGUGGUAUUGUGUGCAUUAGACAAGCUGUGAGAGUUGAAAAAAAGUAUAGUAUUGAAGUAUCCAUAAAACUUUUACAGCAAGAAAAAUAGAGUGUUUUGAAAAGCUACAUUUAUGAAACCAGCCUCAUAUCAGUCCUCAUAACCAAUUUGUGACAUCAUAUGCAUGCCCAUUGAUGUUUUGUGAUACAAUAUACAUCAGCCUGGGAGCUGAAGAGUAUGAUUCUAAUAAUCAAAAUGAUCAUCUGGAAGUGUUAAAAAUAACUGCAAGGAUUAUCAAGAAAAAUUAACGGUUGCAAUUAAGAUCACAUACCUUGCUCUAUUAUUGCAAUUAAGAUCACUUGCUCUAUUAUUGCAUGAUAUAUGCAGACAACACCUCCGUACGACAAGUUUUCCCAAAAAAAAAGAGUUGCAAAGUGUUAUAAAUAGAAUUUCAUAACACCCUAUACUUCAUUACUAGAUCAUUAUUCAUGCCUGCUCAUGUCAAGCCUAUUUAAUAAUUGGGGUAAGUGUUGUGAUCAUUUUGUAACUGGACAAAAGUGUCUUUACAACGAGGAGAGUGAGAAUGAAUUACAGUAUGACUGUGUAAGAUUGUCUCUUGCAUCAUCCUUUCCUUCAGUAGCUAAGUCGACUUUAUAUAAGCAGUCGCUGUGCAUGUAGAGCCCAGUCGUGUAAUGAAAAGAAACGCCAGGUUUUUGCUUGCCAAACAGGAUGUGUACGUUUAACAAGGUAGGUUCAGCCCUUUGUUAAGAGGUGUUGAUCCCAUUAUUAUUUUAUGAGGGACCAUCUGAGUCUCGGUACUUUUCUCUAGCUCGUCAGAGCAACCCGUUCUCUCAAGUUGCCUCUCCGUUAAAAAUGCAACUGUUUUGCCUAACCAGAAAUCUAUGAACCAAAGCAUCCCACCAAAUCUUUCAAGGUUGAUGUAUAGAAAACAUCAAUAUUAUGGUGCUUUAAUUUUGACUAAUAUGACACAUUUUAAUGGAUUGGUCAAUUCAUACAAAAUGCGACAUAUUAGGUGAGAGGACUGGUUGGUCAGAGAGCUAGUGCCAGACUGGGUGUGGCUUGCACUGAACUGGCAUUUCCGUUUUCAUCAGAACGUUUAAUACGCGACAUGGGUUGUAUGACUGCGUUGUUACUUCAGGUGAGUUUCACAAAAUCAUGUGAAUUCACCAUAGCUUCCAGGGAGUUUCAAGCCUUAUUGUGAUGUAAAUGAGGGAUCUAUAUGUAUGGGGAGAUAAAGGGUGAUAUAUUUAUUGAAGUUAAAACAUUUAAAUAUCUAUAUACAUUUUGAAAUUGCUGUAUAUUUAAUUGCAGUGCAAUCCAGUUGUUGCUCUAAGAGAAAGCAAGGAAUGGCAAAGUAAAGGUUAUUGCUCUGAAGAUGAAAAGCGCUGAGAAGACAGUUUUCAUGGAAAUAAAAGUACAGUGAGAGUUGUCUUAUGCAGAAAAUAAAUUACAACAACGUGGUUGAAGAAAAUAGCCCAACCUGCACAUAGAAAAUGUAUAUGAUGUUGUUUCAGUCCACCGUGAGCUGAAACAUUAUCUUAUGUCUGAGUUGUCUUAGGUUGGAGCACGGUUAAGGGAAGUGGAAUUUAUGCACUUUCAAUCAUAAUGGUGAAGGUAUCUAGUAUAUCAAGCUUUUUGACUUUGAAUUAAAACAUGGAAUGCUGCUUAUCAGCGGUUGUUCGUACUGUACUAGUUUCUUAAUUAGAAAUUCCAGCCAUAACGAAAGUUGAUAUCGAAACUACAGUAUAUUUUUAGCGCUUAAUCAAUCAGGUUUUAAAGCACAGAGUAGACUAAACAGUAAAUUGCCAUUGACGCAAUAUUGUGUUCGAUGUGCAAGUUGUUUGGUUUAAUCUGGCUAAGCACUACAGUAUAAAGCUUGACCAGUAACUUGAUGGUCGAGUCUCACCCUCGGCUAGCACAGGCCAUGGUGUUUACCUCGCCAGCAAGGCCUACUGGUAUAUGGUACUGUAUACCGGUACACAUAACCAGAGAGCUGUUGUGCUUUCUCUCCGUGAUAAACCAAUCUGAUUUUUUUAACGCUGUUGAAACAUUUGUAUAGGAAACAAAUAUGGUUAUAUUGGAGUAAUUAAAUUAAAAUAAUGAAGCUUGAUGUUUGUCAGGAGCAAUAGCCUCUAGUUUUUAAAGCUAUCGAACACAUGGAAUAUGGAGCAAGUUGCAGGUUCUCUUGUAUUUGGUGACGCGAAUAACCUCGAAAGAUCAGGAGAUUUUUGAAGUGGCGUAACAUGCAUAAUUAAGAAUGAGAUGUUUGUAGUUGUGUGACAAUAUAUAUAGCAUUCAUAUAUGUUAAUGUUUUAAACAUUGUUGUCUAAGCAGAGGUGACUAAUUCAGCAUCAUUCCAGUGAGUUUUAUUAUGAGUUACAAUAGCACAUUGUUCAUAGUCGUCUCUCCCACCUGGUUUGUUAUUUUGAAUAAUUGACUGGCUACCUGCCUCCUACCUCACGCUUCAACUUUACUCUACACAUCAAGGUCUACCUGCCUAAAUGUUUUUCUUUAUAUUUUAAUUUAUAAUACAGGGAAGCUCUAGUUGCCUUAUUUGCUUACAAUCACUUGAUUAUAAUCAUGAAUAUUUGUCCAAAUAGUUCCUGCUGUAAGCAGUUGUAUUUGACUUUUCAAAAAAGUUUAUGUUUUGGGUCUUCAUGAAGAGGGCGGUCUCGGUGAAGUCAAACGGUUGUAUUAAGUUGACAGUGUGUAACACUGGUCAAGAUGAUUAUUAUCAUUACUCAUUGUGACAAUUCACAUUUAUAUGACCUUAUUUUAAGGUCAAUAAUUGCAUCGUGUUUUAUAUAGAGAAAAUUAGUGUUAUGUUGAAUUAGUUUGAAUGUGGUUAUAUAUCUUAUUUCCCCUGAGGUAAUUACGUGAUAAGAGUUUUUACACAAUAAAAACAAUGACAAUGUACAUGAAAUAAUUGCCUUAAAAAAAAAUCACAGAGCUGCCAUCAUUAUAUUUUGUGUCUGUGACCCCCUUCUGAAUGGGUAAAAACCCUAACCUUUUGCGUAAUAUGCGUUGUCUUGUAGAGAACUGUAGAGAACGUGAUCUCUUAUACACAGAAUUGCAUGGUAGACUCGCAUAUUCACCAAAAAAAUAUGGUCAAUAUGAUAUUUUGACGACAGGUCGUUUUCCGGUCUAGUAGAUUUAUACGGAACACUCUUUAACUAAAAUACCUAGACUCUUACAGCACCUUUCAGGCAUGGUAAAUGUUGACUUAGAACUUUGAAAAACACAUUCAAUACUAACAUGAAUUAACAUUGUAAUUUGUUGUGUUUAUGGACUGGAAAAGCUAGUGAAAGUGUACUUCAUGUAUGUACGAGCCGGAUGUUGCUAAAUAUAGAAUUUGUAGUUGCUACAUUGAGGAUGAAAAUAAUUUCAUGAUAAAAGUGUGCUUCUGUUAUGACUGUGUUGCAGGCAAGUGUAAGUGUUGAGAGCAAAUUAAGUGUAAGUGUUGAAAGUAAAGUAAGUGUGAGUGAUGCAGGUAAGAACAUGUGUUGAAGGCAAGUGCAGUUAUAAGUGUUGCAGGCACGUACAACAAACAAUCGGAAAACAACAUCAGCAUCAGCUGCUCAGCCACCUACAACACCCUGAGCAGCACAUGAAUAGUUUACAGACAUUUUAGUACGGCACAUUAGUAUCAGAGGGUUCCUCAUUUAGAACGAGAGUGUUGGCACGACUUUCCUGAACUCCCCUUAGUGACAAGUACAAGAAACAUCGUAGGCGGUGACUUAGUACAGUGUAUACUUUCUUUAAGAAGAAAGUGUCUUUCAGUAUACAUACAGUGUCUUUCUUCAAGAAGUGCCUCGCCAACUGGGCUGUGGUGGAUAUGUGGGCCUGCGGGCCGCUCUAAGCAAUAGCCUGUUGGACCAAACUCUCACAAGUCAAGCCUGGCUUCGGGACAGUUUUGGGAAGUAGGAAGACUCCCCGAACUCCAUCAAGAAGGUAUCAAGCAGAUAUACAGGAGCGAUUCACACUGUAGUAUACAAAAGGGGUGUAAAGUGAAAUAAAAACUAGAUUACUAAGUACAGUACUGUAUAGCCAGGAAGGUUGGUUGUAUUAUUGUUGCAAAAACAACAAAAAUAGGCUUCAAAAUAAACAACUUUAGGGCUUCAGAUAGUUUAAUUGAUGAGCAUCAUCACAUCAUUGAUUUGAAAGGGAGUUUGUUUCUUCAUUAUUAAUAUGUUGGCAGUCUUUUUGGAGUUAGCUGUGUAUUGUAUUGCAUUAACAGUUCACUGAGUUUAUGUGCAUGCUUAGUGCUGGCUCCCUUCCUGAAGCAGGUUGUAAGCCUUACGUAACUAAAACUGGAUACUUUUUUCAAGAAGUGCCGCAUCAAGCGGGCUGUGGUGGAUAUGUGGACCUGCGGGCCACUCCAAGCAUAUUGGAUCAAGCUCUCACAAGUCAAGCCUGGCCUCAGGCCAGGCUUGGAGAGUAGAAUAACUCCCAGAACCCCCUCCAGCAGGUAUCAACUAGUUUUUUCUGGAACAUGACCCACAGGCAGUUUGCAACCAGGUUCCCAAUUAUGGUUGGGUUAACAGGGGGGGGCAACAGUUAACCAUAGGUACCCAGGUGCCCCUCCUUGCCCAGGACACUUAAUACUGACUUACGAGGUGUUGAAGUCGUCCAAAGAAAUGCAAAGAAGUUUAGAUUUUGGUAUGAAAUUACACAUGAAGGUAGUCACAGAGAUAUUACUAGUGUAGUUCAUGGAAUGGUAGCAGGGCACUUGUGGUGUAGUGGGGUGUGUUUGCCUGCCAGCCUCUCCUCUCGAUUUGCCACACUAUACAAAAUACAACGUCCAAAACUAACCGGAAACACAUGAACCAGUCAAUGCAUAGAAUAUGUUGAUUUUUGUGAUUUGCUGCUUUACAUAGUACGUUGCAUUUAAUACAUUGGCUACCAUAACAUACCAUAACGACACUAGUCGAGAGGACGGGCUGGACCUGCAAUGAAAUAAUGCAUGCUUGUAAAGGACAGUUUGAAGAUGCCAUAUACCAUGAAGGAAAUUUUCAUAUCCAUGAGGAUGAGUUGUGUAUGUUGUAGCUGACUCAUCUGGUUAAGGAGUACAUAGGUAAAUGGUAUAAAUAUUGCAACUUGUUUGUAUGUGGGUGUUAGCAAACCUGUUUCUUCUGUUGGUACAGAAAGGAUUGGCACUAAAUUAUUAUGAUUUAAAGCUGUUGUUAGGCUUGGUCGUGGCAAGUGUGAGACUACCUGGCACUACAGACUGUUGUACCCCGUGGUAUGAGCUGUACAAGCUGCUGUAUCCCAGUAUGAGCUGCUGUACUCCCAGUACGAGCUGCUGUACUCUCUUAGUACGAGCUGCUGUACUCUCCCGGUACGAGCUGCUGUAUCCCAGUAUGAGCUGCUGUACUCCCAGUACAAGCUGCUGUACUCUCCCAGUACGAGCUGCUGUAUUCUCCCGGUAUGAGCUGCUGUACUCCCAGUACGAGCUGCUGUACUCCCAGUACGAGCUGCUGUACUCUCUUAGUACAGGCUGCUGUACUCUCCCGGUACGAGCUGCUGUACUCUCCCAGUAUGAGCUGCUGUACUCUUGUUGUACAAGCUGCUGUACUCUCCCGGUACGAGCUGCUGUACUCUCCCGGUACGAGCUGCUGUACUCUCCCGGUACGAGCUGCUGUACUCUCCCAGUACAAGCUGCUGUACUCUCCCGGUACGAGCUGCUGUACUCUCCCGGUACAAGCUGCUGUACUCUCCCAGUACAAGCUGCUGUACUCUCCAGGUACAAGCUGCUGUACUCUCCCAAUACGAGCUGCUGUACUCUCCCAGUACAAGCUGCUGUACUCUCCCGCUACGAGCCACUGAUCUCGAAAAACUGAGUGUGCUAUACUAGUAAUUCUGUAGUCUCUUCAUAAAUGAAGAAUAACCAUAGAAAAUGACACAGUGGGGGUGGUAAACUAAAUUAUAACAUAUAUAAUUGAAUAUAUAUAUAUA